rnacentral:rRNA from 1 species
UACGUAGGGGGCAAGCGUUGUCCGGAUUUACUGGGCGUAAAGCGCGCGCAGGCGGUCCGGUAAGUCUCCGGUGAAAUCGCCCGGCUCAACUGGGCGGGUGCCGGGGAGACUGGCGGACUUGAGGAGCCUAGAGGCCGGUGGAACUCCCGGUGUAGUGGUGAAAUGCGUAGAGAUCGGGAAGAACACCAGUGGCGAAGGCGGCCGGCUGGGGGUGUCCUGACGCUGAGGCGCGAGAGCGUGGGGAGCAAACCGG